rnacentral:lncRNA from 1 species
GUGAUAGGUGUCUAUAGAGUUGAGCCAUCUUUCAGGACUGCAUUAUCUUGAUUUGAAUUGUUGGUAAACCAGGCCAUCCAGUAAUUAGAGGGAUGCAUGGUGUAUGAUAUAUUAUCCAUAAGACCUGCCACCUGAAGAAAGGAGACAGUUGUAUGAAAGAAAUUUUGAAUGGAGCUCUCCAUAAAUUGGACACCACUGAAUGAAUAUUAAGUUCUAUUCCGGUGCAAGAAAUUGUAUAUAAGGACAGUGGCCCAACUGAAAAAGAUGCACAGCAUUCAAAUUAUUAGCUCAAUAAGACAGAUAUUCAUAGAGAAAAUUUUAGGGUCAAGCUUCAAAAUGGUUUCAUCACCACAAGGUGAUGGAUUUUCUUCAGUAGAUGUUCACUGCCAAG